AACGAACGCUGGCGGCAUGCCUAACACAUGCAAGUCGAACGAAGCCUUCGGGCUUAGUGGCGCACGGGUGCGUAACGCGUGGGAAUCUGCCCUUGGGUUCGGAAUAACAGUUAGAAAUGACUGCUAAUACCGAAUGAUGUCUUCGGACCAAAGAUUUAUCGCCCAAGGAUGAGCCCGCGUCGGAUUAGCUAGUUGGUGAGGUAAAGGCUCACCAAGGCGACGAUCCGUAGCUGGUCUGAGAGGAUGAUCAGCCACACUGGGACUGAGACACGGCCCAGACUCCUACGGGAGGCAGCAGUGGGGAAUAUUGGACAAUGGGCGAAAGCCUGAUCCAGCAAUGCCGCGUGAGUGAUAAAGGCCUUAGGGUUGUAAAGCUCUUUUUACCCGGGAUGAUAAUGACAGUACCGGGAGAAUAAGCCCCCGGCUAACUCCGUGCCAGCAGCCGCGGUAU
rnacentral:rRNA from 1 species